GGCGUCACCCGCGGUGGCGGGGCGGGGCGGGGGGGGGGUGCUGCCGGGGCGCGAGCCGAGUCCCUGCCCGCGGAGACAGAAUGAGCCAGUGUGCCAGAAGGGCAGGGGCAGAUGAAGAGAGAGAGAGAAUCCCAAGCAGGCUCCACAGACUCUUGGCUCGAUCCUAUGACCCUGGGACCAUGACGAGCAGAAAUCAAGAGUUAGGGGGAGAAGGCAGCCGUGUCUGAAGCCAGGCCGAUGAUGACCGUGGUGGUUGGUGCUUGCCCAAGCCCUCCUUUACACUCUUAUCCCCUCCUUCCUCACUGUGACUCUGUCUCUGCUCAGUCAACACAACCGGAAGUUUCAUUCCAGGAGCCCUGGUGGUGCAGAGGUUCCUUGGCUGCCCUACUAACUAAAUUGACAGAAGACAGAGUAAGGAGCUACCCAGAGGGCUGCACGGUCAGGAUCCAUGCUGUGGCCGCGUUUCUUCUGGAUGCCUGAUUUGGGCCACGUUGUCAUGAUUCCAUCAGAGGAGUGAGCCUUUUGCAGGGGUUUGAGCAGAGGAGAGACAUGACCUGACUCACUGCUGUGAUGAUGCUUGACCGUGGGGAGCUGAGGUAGAACAAGGAAGAUCAAUCAGAUCUUCCACAGACUUCAUAUUUAUAUAUGCCUGGAUUAGUCUUCCCAAGCAAUCCUGAGUAACUCCUGGCCCUUUCUGGAGACCCACUGCAAAGUUCUCCUUUUAAGAUUUCUUUGAAUCCUUUUUCUUCACUUUUAAUCAGCUUAUCACUUCAUUGCAAAAUGACUUACUUGGUAAGUCAUUUAUAGCACUUGCUACAAUAUUCAUGUCUAUUGCUUUCUCAUAUGUUAGUCUCCUCAGUGAACAUGUAAACUCCUAAAGGACAGGGACAGUGUCUUUCUCAUAUUUGUAACUUUAGUACCAAGUAUAGUGUCUGUCAACUAAGUAGUUAUUAACUUCCUUCCAAUGAAUGAAUGAAUGAACGAGUGACCCUGGUGUUGCAUUGACAACACCCACAUUAUCUGGAUCAUCUGGAUUCUGCCACCAAACUAAUCAGAGAGGGAUUGCUGAUCAGCCUAUCCCACAUUCUCAGAUUACUUGUUGAAGGAGUGCUGUAGAAAUGUGAGUAUUUUGUCACACAUAGGUGGAGCUAAAACAUUUAUUCCCACAGGCUUGGCUAGCUGAGCCUGACAAAAUUUGUUGGAAAGGUGUUAGGAGAAGUGAGGAAGGAUUUGGAAGAAAAGAGCAGUAGGAACUAGACAGUAACAUUGCUGGAAAAUAAAGCUCUCAGGUAUUCCCCUACUCCAAAUAUUCAAAACUGGAGUUUAUGUGGUGUGCUUUGACAGGCAACAUUAACCCUCAUCCAGCCAAUGGAAUUGCACCAAUUGGAAACAAUUACAGGCUGUAAUGCAUGUUUUAUUGCUACUUGGAAUAAAUUAAUUUGAAUGAAAUGUGAUUUUGUUUAUUGGUUGAUUGGCUUUUAAGACAUCCAGCCAGAGAAGCAGUUCAACAACAUCAGAGCUGAUAAAAGUCAUCUUGAGAAUAUGAGGAAGAAGGGUUGAAUGGUUUUAUUAAAGCCCUCUUGACAAAAGGGAAAGACACUGCUAAGUGAGGUAUUGAGAAGAUGUUAACAUUUAAAAAAUUCAAUAAUCUCUCUCUUAUCUCUAUCUAUCUAUCUAUCUAUCUAUCACUUAUCAUCUGCCUGCCUACCUACAUAUCUACCUAUCUACCCACCUACCUAUGUUUAUCUAAAAGAAGAGACAUGAACUGACUUUUAGAGGAAAGAAGGUAAGGGAAACCAGCAUUGGAUGUGUGCUCUCUGGGUGUCAGAAUUUUGUAUUGUGUAGCCUGAGGGAUAGACGACACCUGGGUUUUUGUGUUUGUGGGGUCUGACUUCAAUGCUACUUUGCUGCUUACCAGUUGUGUGGAUUUGAGUAAGUUUUUUUUUUUAAUUUCUCUGACCCUCAAUUUUGUA